rnacentral:rRNA from 1 species
CAUGCAAGUCGAGCGAAGCACUUUGCUUAGAUUCUUCGGAUGAAGAGGAUUGUGACUGAGCGGCGGACGGGUGAGUAACGCGUGGGUAACCUGCCUCGUACAGGGGGAUAACAGUUAGAAAUGACUGCUAAUACCGCAUAAGACCACAGCACCGCAUGGUGCAGGGGUAAAAACUCCGGUGGUAUGAGAUGGACCCGCGUCUGAUUAGCUAGUUGGUAAGGUAACGGCUUACCAAGGCGACGAUCAGUAGCCGACCUGAGAGGGUGACCGGCCACAUUGGGACUGAGACACGGCCCAAACUCCUACGGGAGGCAGCAGUGGGGAAUAUUGCACAAUGGGGGAAACCCUGAUGCAGCGACGCCGCGUGAGCGAAGAAGUAUUUCGGUAUGUAAAGCUCUAUCAGCAGGGAAGAAAAUGACGGUACCUGACUAAGAAGCACCGGCUAAAUACGUGCCAGCAGCCGCGGUAAUACGUAUGGUGCAAGCGUUAUCCGGAUUUACUGGGUGUAAAGGGAGUGUAGACGGAUGGGCAAGUCUGAUGUGAAAACCCGGGGCUCAACCCCGGGACUGCAUUGGAAACUGUUCAUCUAGAGUGCUGGAGAGGUAAGUGGAAUUCCUAGUGUAGCGGUGAAAUGCGUAGAUAUUAGGAGGAACACCAGUGGCGAAGGCGGCUUACUGGACAGUAACUGACGUUGAGGCUCGAAAGCGUGGGGAGCAAACAGGAUUAGAUACCCUGGUAGUCCACGCCGUAAACGAUGACUACUAGGUGUCGGGUGGCAAAGCCAUUCGGUGCCGCAGCAAACGCAAUAAGUAGUCCACCUGGG